CCUACGGGAGACAGCAGUGGGGAAUAUUGCACAAUGGGGGAAACCCUGAUGCAGCGACGCCGCGUGAGUGAAGAAGUAUUUCGGUAUGUAAAGCUCUAUCAGCAGGGGAGAAAAUGACGGUACCUGAUUAAGAAGCCCCGGCUAAACACGUGCCAGCAGCCGCGGUAAUACGUAGGGGGCAAACGUUAUCCGGAAUUACUGGGUGUAAAGGGAGCGUAGCCGGGAGCGCAAGUCUGAAGUGAAAUGCCGGGGCUUAACCCCGGAACUGACUUGGAAACUGUGAUGCUAGAGUGCAGGAGAGGUAAGUGGAAUUCCUGGUGUAGCGGUGAAAUGCGUAGAUAUUAGGAAGAACACCAGUGGCGAAGGCGGCUUACUGGACUGUAACUGACGUUGAGGCUCGAAAGCGUGGGGAGCGAACAGGAUUAGAUACCCGUGUAGUC
rnacentral:rRNA from 1 species